AUUGAACGCUGGCGGCAUGCCUUACACAUGCAAGUCGAACGGUAACAGGUCUUCGGAUGCUGACGAGUGGCGAACGGGUGAGUAAUGCAUCGGAACGUGCCCAGUAGUGGGGGAUAGCCCGGCGAAAGCCGGAUUAAUACCGCAUACGACCUGAGGGUGAAAGGGGGGGAUCGCAAGACCUCUCGCUAUUGGAGCGGCCGAUGUCAGAUUAGCUAGUUGGUGGGGUAAAGGCCUACCAAGGCAACGAUCUGUAGUUGGUCUGAGAGGACGACCAGCCACACUGGGACUGAGACACGGCCCAGACUCCUACGGGAGGCAGCAGUGGGGAAUUUUGGACAAUGGGCGCAAGCCUGAUCCAGCAAUGCCGCGUGCAGGAAGAAGGCCUUCGGGUUGUAAACUGCUUUUGUCAGGGAAGAAAUCUUCUGGGUUAAUACCCCGGGAGGAUGAC
rnacentral:rRNA from 1 species